rnacentral:lncRNA from 1 species
CAAGCCCAGUGUGUGGCGGACAAGGCCCUGGACAAAGGGCUGUGUUCAUCGCCCCUCUUCCCAGCCUCAGGUCUGCAUGGCUCUCUCCCCAGCACGUGAUCUGUGACAAUGGGAAAAGCCCUUGCCUGCAGGAUGCCCCAGGGGUGACCACUGUGACCAGUGACUCUGGUGUCUUCUGUGCACAUUUAGAACAGCCCAGGAGUGCCCUGGGUUCCAGGGGCAGGCACUUUGGGACCAUGACAAGAGGCAGGCGGGGCACAGUGUUUGCCAUCCUUCCAAGGAACGUGAGGCAGGAGGAACUGGAGUGGAGGGAGACCCAUCUGUAUGUGCAAUGUCCUGGUAUUUCAUCACAGUGAUGGAAAAUGGACUAACACAGAACCGCAGCACCCGCAGGGCCUGGGUGGCCCCCGGAGGGACCAGGCCUGGGUUUUGAGGAAGAAGAGGCUUCAGAGAGAGAGAGCCCUAUGCACCCAAGAUCUCCAUUAAGUGACAUCCCUGGCCAGGAUGUCCUUGGGGACAGGAUUAGUGUCUUUAGGGCAGGGGAGCUGCAGGGACCUGGAGUCUGCUCAAAGGAGUCUGCAGCCCAAGAUGGGCCU